AACGAACGCUGGCGGCAUGCCUAACACAUGCAAGUCGAACGAGACCUUCGGGUCUAGUGGCGCACGGGUGCGUAACGCGUGGGAACCUGCCCUUAGGUUCGGAAUAACUCCCCGAAAGGGGUGCUAAUACCGGAUAAUGUCUUCGGACCAAAGAUUUAUCGCCUUUGGAUGGGCCCGCGUUGGAUUAGCUAGUUGGUAGGAUAAAAGCCUACCAAGGCGACGAUCCAUAGCUGGUCUGAGAGGAUGAUCAGCCACACUGGGACUGAGACACGGCCCAGACUCCUACGGGAGGCAGCAGUGGGGAAUAUUGGACAAUGGGCGAAAGCCUGAUCCAGCAAUGCCGCGUGAGUGAUGAAGGCCUUAGGGUUGUAAAGCCCUUUUACCCGGGAUGAUAAUGACAGUACCGGGAGAAUAAGCUCCGGCUAACUCCGUG
rnacentral:rRNA from 1 species